GGUGGCGUCGAGCUGGCCCUGGCUCAGCGCCAGGAAAACGUCGGCCUGC
rnacentral:sRNA from 1 species